AGGGGUGAGGAAGGAGAUUGUGCCACUGUGAUUAUUGUGGUAUGGAGGUGUGGGGACGUGGAACCUGGGUCACAAUCAGCUCAGCAGAGCUGGGCCCCCACACAUCCCCAGCACCUCUGUACCAGAACACCGGACCUGCAGCACCCGCAAAGCUGCCCCCCAGUGUGGAUGUCUUCCUCCCGCCCCGGGACGCCUUCUCCAGCAAUAGCCAGCGCACGUCCAGGCUCAUCUGCCAGGCCACAGGCUUCAGCCCCAGGCACAUCUCCGUGUCCUGGCUGCAAGACGGGAAGCGGCUGGAGUCUGGCAUCACCACGGACAACGUGGAAGCCGAGACUAAGGGGUCGGGGCCCGUGACCUUCAAGGUCACCAGCACACUGACCAUCACCGAGACUGCCUGGCUCAGUCAGAGCACAUUCACCUGCCACGUGGAACACAGUGGGCUCACCUUCCAGAAGAACGCGUCCUCCUUGUGCGGCAGCGGUCCAAACACUGCCAUCCAGGUCUUCGCCAUUCCCCCUUCCUUCGCCAGCAUCUUCCUCACCAAGUCGGCCAAGCUGUCCUGCCUGGUCACAAACCUGGCCACCUAUGGCAGUCUGGCCAUCUCCUGGACCGGCCAGGAUGGCAAGCCCAUGAAAACCAAUACCAACAUUUCCAAGAGCCACCCCAACACCACCUUCAGCGCCACGGGCGAGGCCACCAUCUGCGUGGAGGAUUGGGAGUCGGGCCACGAAUUCUCGUGCACAGUGACGCACACGGACCUGCCUUCGCCGCGGAAGCAGACCGUCUCCAGGCCCAAGGAGGUCGCCAAGCACACGCCCUCCGUCUACGUGCUCCCGCCCACCCAGGAGCAGCUGAAACUGCGGGAGUCGGCCUCCGUCACCUGCCUGGUGACGGGCUUCUCCCCACCGGACGUGUUUGUGCAGUGGCUGCAGAAAGGGCAGCCCGUCCCCUCCCACAAGUAUGUGACCAGCGCCCCGACCCCCGAGCCCCAGGCCCCGGGCCUCUACUUCGCGCACAGCAUCCUGACAGUGAGUGAGGAGGACUGGAGCGCCGGGGAGACCUACACCUGCGUCGUGGGCCACGAGGCGCUGCCCCACACGGUGACCGAGAGGACCGUGGACAAGACCACCGGUAAACCCACCCUGUACAACGUCUCCCUGGUCCUGUCUGACACGGCCAGCACGUGCUACUGACCCCUGGGCUGCCCCGACGGGCUGGCACUGGGGCCUGUGGGUGACCCGGCGCUGCAUGCGUGCCUGUGUGCGAACUGAGCAUGUCAUAGGGUGCCACGCUGCAUGCUCUCAAAACAGAAAUAAAAAGAUGCAUUCACAGAC